CAGCUCCCAUCAUCCCCUAUUGGCACUCAGAGUCCGGCUCUUCGGCUUCAUUGGUGACAGAACCUAUCUCUAUGGUCACCAAGCCUCUUAAGUGCCAGCCAGGUUGACCCUUCAGACGUUGACAUCUGGAGACCCACAGCUGCGGACUGCGCAGUCUGAGGUUAGAGUUUUGCUACUAUUGAAGAUCCAUUCUUUGAAAACAGCACUUUGACCCGCAGGAUUCAGGCCGUCCAGCUUCUCUCCAGGCUGACCAGCUCCAUCCCUUCGCAGCAGGAAAGGGGCCGGGGAGACUUUGGCUGCCAGCAGAAUGGAAGAAAAAGAGAAAGGUUGGGGAUGAGCCAGCCUUUUCUGGGGCUCAAAAGGAUCCCCAAACACCUAAAGCAGGGGUCCCCAAACUUUUUAAGCAGAGGGCCGGUCCACAAUCCUUCAGACUGUUGAAGGGCCAAAUUAUCAUUUGAAAAAAAAAUACAAAUUCCGAUGCACCCUGCACAUGUCUUAUUUGUAGUGCAACAACAACAAGAACAAUGAAAGAACAAUACAAUAUUUAAAAAUAAAAACAAUUUUAACCAA